rnacentral:rRNA from 1 species
UUAUUGGAGAGUUUGAUCCUGGCUCAGGACGAACGCUGGCGGCGUGCCUAAUACAUGCAAGUCGAGCGAAUCUGAGGGAGCUUGCUCCCAAAGAUUAGCGGCGGACGGGUGAGUAACACGUGGGCAACCUGCCUGUAAGACUGGGAUAACUUCGGGAAACCGGAGCUAAUACCGGAUAAUCCCUUUCCUCACAUGAGGAAAGGCUGAAAGACGGUUUCGGCUGUCACUUACAGAUGGGCCCGCGGCGCAUUAGCUAGUUGGUGAGGUAACGGCUCACCAAGGCCACGAUGCGUAGCCGACCUGAGAGGGUGAUCGGCCACACUGGGACUGAGACACGGCCCAGACUCCUACGGGAGGCAGCAGUAGGGAAUCUUCCGCAAUGGACGAAAGUCUGACGGAGCAACGCCGCGUGAGUGAUGAAGGUUUUCGGAUCGUAAAACUCUGUUGUUAGGGAAGAACAAGUAUCGGAGUAACUGCCGGUACCUUGACGGUACCUAACCAGAAAGCCACGGCUAACUACGUGCCAGCAGCCGCGGUAAUACGUAGGUGGCAAGCGUUGUCCGGAAUUAUUGGGCGUAAAGCGCGCGCAGGUGGUUCCUUAAGUCUGAUGUGAAAGCCCACGGCUCAACCGUGGAGGGUCAUUGGAAACUGGGGAACUUGAGUGCAGAAGAGGAAAGUGGAAUUCCAAGUGUAGCGGUGAAAUGCGUAGAGAUUUGGAGGAACACCAGUGGCGAAGGCGACUUUCU